CAGUCGCCGCGGUAAUACAGAGGGUUCGAGCGUUAAUCGGAUUUACUGGGCGUAAAGCGUGCGUAGGCGGCUUCUUAAGUCGGAUGUGAAAUCCCUGAGCUUAACUUAGGAAUUGCAUUCGAUACUGGGAAGCUAGAGUAUGGGAGAGGAUGGUAGAAUUCCAGGUGUAGCGGUGAAAUGCGUAGAGAUCUGGAGGAAUACCGAUGGCGAAGGCAGCCAUCUGGCCUAAUACUGACGCUGAGGUACGAAAGCAUGGGGAGCAAACAGGAUUAGAUACCCCCGUAGUCCCUGUCUCUUAUAC
rnacentral:rRNA from 1 species